rnacentral:snRNA from 1 species
GCAGGAGUACAUUUUCCAUGG